UACAGAGGUCUCAAGCGUUGUUCGGAUUCAUUGGGCGUAAAGGGCGCGUAGGCUGCGGGGCAAGUCGGGUGUGAAAUCUCAGGGCUCAACCCUGAAACUGCACUCGAUACUGCUCUGCUUGAGGACUGGAGAGGAGACUGGAAUUCACGGUGUAGCAGUGAAAUGCGUAGAUAUCGUGAGGAAGACCAGUGGCGAAGGCGGGUCUCUGGACAGUUCCUGACGCUGAGG
rnacentral:rRNA from 1 species